rnacentral:rRNA from 1 species
CCUACGGGAGGCAGCAGUGGGGAAUUUUGGACAAUGGGCGCAAGCCUGAUCCAGCCAUGCCGCGUGCGGGAAGAAGGCCUUCGGGUUGUAAACCGCUUUUGUCAGGGAAGAAAAUGUUCUGGAUAAUACCUGGGACUCAUGACGGUACCUGAAGAAUAAGCACCGGCUAACUACGUGCCAGCAGCCGCGGUAAUACGUAGGGUGCAAGCGUUAAUCGGAAUUACUGGGCGUAAAGCGUGCGCAGGCGGUUAUGCAAGACAGAGGUGAAAUCCCCGGGCUCAACCUGGGAACUGCCUUUGUGACUGCAUAGCUAGAGUACGGUAGAGGGGGAUGGAAUUCCGCGUGUAGCAGUGAAAUGCGUAGAUAUGCGGAGGAACACCGAUGGCGAAGGCAAUCCCCUGGACCUGUACUGACGCUCAUGCACGAAAGCGUGGGGAGCAAACAGGAUUAGAUACCCUGGUAGUCCACGCCCUAAACGAUGUCAACUGGUUGUUGGGAGGGUUUCUUCUCAGUAACGUAGCUAACGCGUGAAGUUGACCGCCUGGGGAGUACGGCGCAAGGUUGAAACUUAAGGAAAUUGACGG